AUGCAGGUAUUGUCAGCAACCAUUCUAUUUUUAAAAAAUGUUAAAAUAAUGAGUGUAUCAAAACAUUUUCCUUCUUUGGUGAACAACACGUUUGCCUAUCCAGAAACAAGAGAAGAAGGUCUGACCUAA
rnacentral:rRNA from 1 species